GGCUUGGGUGGUGGCACAAAUAAAACUAGUUGUGUGAUUGAAAAAGCUUUUGAAGAUGCACUGAAGGGAGUCAUCCAGGCAGAUGAUGGUUUGCGUACAAGGAGUUUCAUAGAGCUUGUGGCUGAGACAGUCUAUAGUUCUCGAGUACUGGAUCGGCUUCUUGAAGUCCAAAAGCUUGAUAAUUUUGACAUUGAAGGGGCAAUUCAUGCUUAUUAUAACAUUAUUUCUCAGCCUUGCAUGGUAUGUAGUGAAUUGGAUGAAGCAAGACUUCAGCCUAGGUAUGCCUCCUUGCAUUCCAUUCCUUUGGAUGAGAGCUUGAAGAUGGUAAAGGAUUAUUUAAUAGCUGCAACUGCAAAGGACUGUAGUUUGAUGAUCAGUUUUAAACCAAGGGAAGAUACGGAUUUUGGGUCUCCAUAUAGCAGUAUAUAUCUGAAAUCAACCAACCAAAACUUUGAUUACAAGGUGAAUUUCAUC
rnacentral:misc_RNA from 1 species